ACUUAUCUAAAACACCAAAAAUUUAUAUAAUAAAACAGAACCCAUUUUGAAUCUUUCAUUUGACAAAGCACAAGGACGGUUCAAAUUCAUUCUAACUUAAUUUUUUCAACUUAAUCUAAAGACUCAUAUUUCUUCCCGCCCAAAUCAAAUUCACUCAUACACCCUACUCUCUCUCAUGUCCACACACAAAAUCUUUCUCUCUCCUCUCUUCUUCACACACACACACACAAAAACAAAUAAUAAUAGUACUAAAAAUAAAUAUUAUAAUAAUAAUAAUAAUAAUAGUACUAAUAAUAAUUAUAAUAAUACUAAUAAUAAU
rnacentral:lncRNA from 1 species